rnacentral:lncRNA from 1 species
CAACACCUUUGCCAGUUCAACUGGCAGGAGUUGAGGCUUAAUCAUGGGGAGGGGGAGAAGUGGGGGGGGUUUCCUCCUUCCCAGUCUGUCUCUCCUUAACGGAUCCAGCUGACUCCAACUCCUGCCCUCUCCAGCCAAGGGCUAAGGCAGAUGAGCAAACACUUCACACCAAGCCUCAGCUGGGCAAGCUGUUGUCAGCUCAGUGGAGGAAAACACAAGAGCUGGUGAGGAGGAAAAAGCUGUCAUCUGAUUCCCUUUGGCUGUCAACUCCACCUAAAGCACGUGCUACAGAGGUUUAAUGAAAUUUUCACUUGGACAGAACACAGACUGUCCCAAGUAGAGCACUCACCAGUGUCCAGUCAUGUGCAAUUCAAGGGCUUUGUGGUAAACUCCACCUCUGUAAUGCAGAACAAUUAAAGUCAUUCUCACCACAGCUGAGCCUGGCUCAUUUGUGAACAG